GCUGGGCAUGGUGGCACGUGUCUGUAGUCCCAGCUACUUGGGAGGCUGAAACAGGAGGAUUGCUUGCGUCCAGGAGUUCUGGGCUGUACUGUGCUAUGCCGACCAGGUGUCUGCACUAAGUUUGGCAUCAAUAUGGUGACCUCUGGGGAGCAGGAGACCACCAGGUUGCCUAAGGAGGGGUGAACUGGCCCAGGUCAGAAACGGAGCAAGUCAAAGCUCCCAUGCUGAUCAGUAGUGGGAUUGUGCCUGUGAAUAGCCACUGCACUCCAGACUGGUUAACAUAAUGAGACCCCAUCUCUU
rfam:Otolemur garnettii contig121774, whole genome shotgun sequence.